rnacentral:rRNA from 1 species
GACGAACGCUGGCGGCGUGCCUAAUACAUGCAAGUAGAACGCUGAAGAGAGGAGCUUACUCUUCUUGGAUGAAUUGCGAACGGGUGAGUAACGCGUAGGUAACCUGCCUUGUAGCGGGGGAUAACUAUUGGAAACGAUAGCUAAUACCGCAUAACAAUGGAUGACACAUGUCAUUUAUUUGAAAGGGGCAAUUGCUCCACUACAAGAUGGACCUGCGUUGUAUUAGCUAGUAGGUGAGGUAAUGGCUCACCUAGGCGACGAUACAUAGCCGACCUGAGAGGGUGAUCGGCCACACUGGGACUGAGACACGGCCCAGACUCCUACGGGAGGCAGCAGUAGGGAAUCUUCGGCAAUGGGGGCAACCCUGACCGAGCAACGCCGCGUGAGUGAAGAAGGUUUUCGGAUCGUAAAGCUCUGUUGUAAGUCAAGAACGGGUGUGAGAGUGGAAAGUUCACACUGUGACGGUAGCUUACCAGAAAGGGACGGCUAACUACGUG